AAGUCGUAACAAGGUUUCCGUAGGUGAACCUGCGGAAGGAUCAUUACAGAGUUCAUGCCCUCACGGGUAGAUCUCCCACCCUUGAAUACAAUACUCUUCGUUGCUUUGGCAGGCCGUGGAAACACCACGGGCGUCUCGCCUGUGAGUGCCUGCCAGAGGACACAAACUCUGUUUUUAGUGAUGUCUGAGUACUAUAUAAUAGUUAAAACUUUCAACAACGGAUCUCUUGGUUCUG
rnacentral:misc_RNA from 1 species